UACGGGGGGGGGCAAGCGUUGUUCGGAAUUACUGGGCGUAAAGGGCCUAUAGGCGGCCAACUAAGUCAGACGUGAAAUCCCCAGGCUCAACCUGGGAACUGCGUCUGAUACUGGAUGGCUUGAAUCCGGGAGAGGGAUGCAGAAUUCCAGGUGUAGCGGUGAAAUGCGUAGAUAUCUGGAGGAAUACCGGUGGCGAAGGCGCAUCCUGGACCGGCAUUGACGCUGAGGAGCGAAAGCCAGGGGAGCAAACGGGG
rnacentral:rRNA from 1 species